GAUAGGAAGCAGGAAAGCGGGAGAGCUCGAGGGACGAGGGGGCUCGGUGUGUUUACACCAGGCACGGGCUACGAGCGUCCAUCCCGGCCCCUGGCUUGCGCUCCCGAAGAGGAGGGCAAGGCUGUUCUGGGAUCCGGCCGUCGUGCGGCAAGAGGCUUGUCUGUCCGGGUUGCCGGAACCACGAGAACCCAGAAGGAAACCGAGGGAAAGGAGCGGCGCGUUUUACUAGAGAGAGCGCGAGCGGAAGAGGCGAGAGCAGGAGCGCGCGAGGGAGCAUCGAGCGCAGCGGAGACAUGAGGACCUACUGGCUGCACAGCGUCUGGGUGCUGGGCUUUUUCCUGUCCCUCUUCUCAUUGCAAGGUAAGUGAAACCAAUUUUUACAGCACAGCAAUGGUUACUGGAAUCUGUCAACAUGUAGUGACUUUCUUCACUGAAUAUGCCACGGGGAGACAUUUCAAUAUCUUCCAUCACCCCCGCUUGACUUGUGAGUCUUUAUCCAGAAUUUCUAAAUAACCAAUAAGUAACCUAGG
rnacentral:lncRNA from 1 species